CCUUAGAGAGGGCCCCCUUCUGAAAGAACCAGAGCGAGAGAAGGUUGGAGGAGAGUGAGUGAGAAAGAGAGAGAGGCAGAGGUAUUUAUAGAAAAAUGGGGCUUCGCGCUACCUUUUCUCGCAAAAUAAUCAUUAGAGGACAAAGUGUCCCAGUUUUUGUAUGGGCGCUCCACGAUAGCAGCUAGCUAGGGCUGUGGGCCGACAGAUUUUACCUGCGAUGGGGAGCCUGACUUACAGACCGUCUCCUCUCUCUCCCAGCCUCCUUCUCCUCUUUUGCUCCAUACCUCUGGUUCUUUGAUCCGUGAAAGGGAGACAUCAGCCUACUUGUACACUGAUGUGACCUCCUGAGAGGGUUUGGGUUGUAGGUCUUGGUGGGGGUGCUGGAGCUGGGUACAGGGGCCAGAGAGAGGGUAAGGGCGUGACUGGGCACCAGAGACGGGGACUUUGGGCUGUUGACGGGACGUGUCCUCGCGAACCUUGACCUCUCAGUAGACACCACCAGCGUCAAGAUGAGGCGCUUUCUGAGCCGCAAGGGCCGCUUCUCGCUGCGCCAGAGCAAGUCUGGACCUCGCGGUGCCUCCAAAGAUUUCUUUGAUGUUCCACUCUCGAACCCUCCAAGCGGGGCGUUAUACUAUGGAGGUAUGAUAGUGUCUGUUAAAAAGUGAUACCAUUGUGUUCGACCAUUGUGGAUGUCCCUUAAGAGCAGAAAAACUUUCUCAACCCAUUUCAUUCUUGUGACGCUUCAGUCUC
rnacentral:lncRNA from 8 species